AGUCGAACGGUAACAUUUCUAGCUUGCUAGAAGAUGACGAGUGGCGGACGGGUGAGUAAUGCUUGGGAACUUGCCUUUAGGUGGGGGAUAACAGUUGGAAACGACUGCUAAUACCGCAUAAUGUCUACGGACCAAAGGGGGCUUCGGCUCUCGCCUAGAGAGAGGCCCAAGUGAGAUUAGCUAGUUGGUGGGGUAAAGGCCUACCAAGGCAACGAUCUCUAGCUGUUCUGAGAGGAAGAUCAGCCACACUGGGACUGAGACACGGCCCAGACUCCUACGGGAGGCAGCAGUGGGGAAUAUUGCACAAUGGGGGAAACCCUGAUGCAGCCAUGCCGCGUGUGUGAAGAAGGCCUUCGGGUUGUAAAGCACUUUCAGUUGUGAGGAAAGGUUGGUAGUUAAUACCUGCCAGCUGUGACGUUAACAACAGAAGAAGCACCGGCUAACUCCGUGCCAGCAGCCGCGGUAAUACGGAGGGUGCGAGCGUUAAUCGGAAUUACUGGGCGUAAAGCGCACGCAGGCGGCUUGUUAAGCUAGAGGUGAAAGCCCCGCGCUCAACGUGGGAACUGCCUUUAGAACUGGCAGGCUAGAGUCUUGGAGAGGGGAGUGGAAUUCCAGGUGUAGCGGUGAAAUGCGUAGAUAUCUGGAGGAACAUCAGUGGCGAAGGCGGCUCCCUGGCCAAAGACUGACGCUCAUGUGCGAAAGUGUGGGUAGCGAACAGGAUUAGAUACCCUGGUAGUCCACACCGUAAACGCUGUCUACUAGCUGUUUGUGUAUUUAAUACGUGAGUAGCGAAGCUAACGCGCUAAGUAGACCGCCUGGGGAGUACGGCCGCAAGGUUAAAACUCAAUGAAUUGACGGGGGCCCGCACAAGCGGUGAGCAUGUGGUUUAAUUCGAUGCAACGCGAGAACCUUACCUACUCUUGACAUCCAGGAAAUUUUCAGAGAUGAUAGUGCCUUCGGGAUCCUGAGACAGUGCUGCAUGACUGUCGUCAGCUCGUGUCGUGAGAUGUGGGUAGUCCCGCAACGAGCGCAACCCUGUCCUAGUGCCAGCCUAGUGGCACUCUAAGGAGACUGGCGGUGACAACCGAAAAGGUUGAUGACGUCAAGUCUCCUGGGCCUUACGGUGGGCUACACAGGCUACAUGGCAGUGACAUGGGUUAAUCCCCCAAAAAUGUUUGAUCGGGAAGGGUUCUGCGAACUCCACGCCAGAUCCAAUCACAAUUAAUCCUCACACAUACGCGGAGAAAAGAAUUCUCGCCGCUGUGAUA
rnacentral:rRNA from 1 species